GCUCAGUCAGUUGAGUGUCUGACUCUUGAUUUCAGCUCAGGUCAUGAUCUCAUGGUUCGUGAGUUCGAGCCUCACACUGGGCU
rnacentral:tRNA from 1 species